GCCUUGAUGGUGAAAUGGUAGACACGCGAGACUCAAAAUCUCGUGGUUAAGAGAGUGGAGGUUCGAGUCCUCUUCAAGGAA
rfam:Picea glauca, whole genome shotgun sequence.